GUCUACGGCCAUGCUGCCCUGAACAAUCCCGUCUGAUCUUGGAAGCUAAGCAAGGUCGGGCCUGGUUAGUACUUGAAUGGGAGACCACUGAGGAAGACCAGGUGCUGUAGGCA
rnacentral:rRNA from 1 species